rnacentral:rRNA from 1 species
AUUGAACGCUGGCGGCAGGCCUAACACAUGCAAGUCGAGCGGAUGAAGGGAGCUUGCUCCUGGCUUCAGCGGCGGACGGGCGAGUAAUGCCUAGGAAUCUGCCUGGUAGUGGGGGAUAACGUCCGGACACGGGCGCUAAUACCGCAUACGUCCUGAGGGAGAACGUGGGGGAUCUUCGGACCUCACGCUAUCAGCUGAGCCUAGGUCGGAUUAGCUAGUCGGUGGGGUAAAGGCCGAACAAGGCGACGAUCCGUAACUGGUCUGAGAGGAUGAUCAGUCACACUGGAACUGAGACACGGUCCAGACUCCUACGGGAGGCAGCAGUGGGGAAUAUUGGACAAUGGGCGAAAGCCUGAUGGAGCAAUGCCGCGUGUGUGAUGAAGGUCUUCGGAUUGUAAAACACUGUAAGUUGGGAAGAAGAGAAGUAAGUGAAAACCUGGCUGUUUUGACGUUACCAACAGAAAAAGCACCGGCUAACUACGUG